GAUGAACGCUGGCGGCGUGCCUAAUACAUGCAGGUCGAGCGAACAGACAAGGAGCUUGCUCCUCUGACGUUAGCGGCGGACGGGUGAGUAACACGUGGAUAACCUACCUAUAAGACUGGGAUAACUUCGGGAAACCGGAGCUAAUACCGGAUAAUAUAUUGAACCGCAUGGUUCAAUAGUGAAAGACGGUUUUGCUGUCACUUAUAGAUGGAUCCGCGCCGCAUUAGCUAGUUGGUAAGGUAACGGCUUACCAAGGCAACGAUGCGUAGCCGACCUGAGAGGGGGACCGGCGAAAGGGGGACGGAGGUAGGGGACAGACUCCAAGGGGAAGCAACGGUGGGGAAUAGUGAACAAUGGGCGGAAGCGUGAUGCAAGAAAGCCGGGGGCGGGAUGACGGCCAUCGGGUGGGAAACCGAUGGCGCCGGUGACGAAGCGGGGGGGACGGGAAUGGGUAAAGAAGCACGGGCUAACUACGUG
rnacentral:rRNA from 1 species